rnacentral:rRNA from 1 species
GAAAGAGGAGGGAAGCGGCAGCCGGAAUUAUUGGGCGUAAAGCGUCCGUAGGUGGUUUGGCAAGUCUGGGGUUAAAGCCCGGAGCCUAACUCCGGAUCGGCCCUGGAAACUGCCAGACUAGAGUAAGGUAGGGGUUGCGGGAAUUCCAUGUGUAGCGGUGAAAUGCGUAGAUAUCGGGAAGAACACCAGUGGCGAAAGCGCGCAACUGGGCCAUUACUGACACUGAGGGACGAAAGCUAGGGGAGCGAAUGGG